ensembl:miRNA mdo-mir-325 mdo-mir-325
CGUAGUAGGUGCUUAAUAAAUGCUUGUUGAUUGAUUGGUUGAUUAAGCACCUACUCAGU